rnacentral:rRNA from 1 species
UACGUAGGCAGCGAGCGUUGUUCGGAGUUACUGGGCGUAAAGGGUGUGUAGGCGGUCCUCUAAGUUUGGGGUGAAAUCUCCCGGCUCAACCGGGAGGGUGCGCCGAAAACUGGGGGGCUAGAGUGCGGGAUGGGUAAGCGGAAUUCCGGGUGUAGCGGUGAAAUGCGUAGAUAUCAGGAGGAACACCUGUGGUGUAGACGGCUUACUGGACCGAAACUGACGCUGAGACACGAAAGCGUGGGUAGCAAACAGG